CGCGGUUUAUAACUAGGGAGAACCGCGCUGUCCAUUCCAGGAGGGGAAGCGAGACUACGGUUCCCGACGCCCCGCGCGGCGGGCGGACUCCGAGCGGUUCCUCGGGCCGCUCCCGGUGUGCUUCAGCACCUAGUCGCGGCCUUCGUCGCCGGUGGCCGUUCCUUCCUCCGGGAACGUUUUUCCUCCCGACAGCUGCCCCCGCCUGCUAUGGUCCACUUGCCGUCCGACCCCGCGCUGCUGGGUCGGGCUCCCAGACAGACCCAUCCCCGUGGCCUCCUGGAAGCCCUGGCUGUGGGCGCCGCCACCCACCGGGUGCCAAGCGCAGCUCCUGGUCGAAUCCUCGGGGUCCCCGCCACCGCUCGUGGUGAAUAGCUAGCCACUACCAAGUCCCAUUGUAAUUCCCCUUGGGAGAGAAAAAAGAAAAGAACUCCUGCCCCUGACCGCGUUUAUUGGGUGAAUGCAAGCCCGGCUCCUUUGGCUGGAACCGCAGUUUUUCCCGUCUCCAAUCCGGGGCCCACCGCCUCCAGAAUCUCUUUGUAGUAAUCACAGCUGGUGACCAUCCGUACCCUCGGAAACCUCCCGUGGCUUCCCGACGUCUGGUUGUGAAGUCCAAAUUCUUAGCGUUCAGCGCCGGCACUGCAUGUGUUCCGUAGACGUGCAGACCUCACCAGCUUCGUCCUAAAUCUUCAGUAUGGAAAUUGCAACUGCAAACGCCCCUCCCAAAUAGCGCAGUCCUACCCUGGCUUACACACUGGCAGACACUUGCUGUGGAUGGAGGGACCAGAUAUCCAGCCCCGGCAGCUAGGUUUCCUCUCGUUGACACCUAAGACAGCGCAGUACCUGACUGAGGAAGUGUUCUGACUGAUCCACGUACCAUGGGCAGAAAGCAAGAGUGGGGUUCAAGGGAACAGGAGCAGGGAGCAGACGCGCAGGGCCACGCACAGCACGUGACCCGUCACAGCCCCAGGAGGGGAGACUUGUGUGGGUCCUGGUGACCUUUCAUUUCUGGCUUCUGAUCCCAGACAAAUGUGUUUUCACAGUCUCUUCCCUUUUGUUUAAGGUUUCCUAAAUGAGUGUUUUUCCCAGAGUACCUUCCUCGGGGAGGCAGCUUCCAGUCCAGCUUUAUUUACCUCCCUCGCUGCUGUCCACCCACACCCACGACACACCUGUCUUUGCUGAAACUCUGAACUGCUGCUGCCUUCCUGCCUUUGCACACUUGCCCAAGUCUUCCCUUUGCCUGGAACACCUUCCAGCGCUAAUCUACCUGUCCUUCCUGUUCCCAAAUGUGACCACAUCCCCAAACAAUGCCUGCCUCCUUUAUCUCCCCUUAGCCCUGAGUAGUUGUUUAUAACACCACAUUUGGACUUGGGAGUAUAGCCGUUUUUCUGUCUUAGAGAGUGGACAUGGAAUGAAGGUCUGACGGAAUGAGGUCUGUGCACACUGGCAGCUGGAGACACGGUGUGUCCCAGCCUCGUAAACCCGGCGUCUUGUCUGCAAGGCCGUCCGCAGUGUCACGAGUGCUCUGGGGCCCGGCAUUCCUACCUCGGAAUUCAGGUGCUAAGCAGG